rnacentral:rRNA from 1 species
UGCCAGCCGCCGGGUAAUACGGAGGGUCCAAGCGUUAAUCGGAAUUACUGGGCGUAAAGCGUGCGCAGGCGGUUUUAUGAGUCAGAUGUGAAAUCCCCGAGCUCAACUUGGGAACUGCGUUUGAAACUGUAAGACUAGAGUGUGUCAGAGGGGGGUAGAAUUCCAUGUGUAGCAGUGAAAUGCGUAGAUAUAUGGAGGAAUACCAAUGGCGAAGGCAGCCGCCUGGGAUAACACUGACGCUCAUGCACGAAAGCGUGGGGAGCGAACAGGAUUAGAUA